GACGAACGCUGGCGGCGUGCUUAACACAUGCAAGUCGAACGAAGUGGCGAACGGGUGAGUAACGCGUAAUCAACCUGCCCUUCAGAGGGGGACAACAGUUGGAAACGACUGCUAAUACCGCAUACGGAAGGAGGGGAUUGAGUCUGAUGAGCUGUUUGGAGGGGUAACGGCCCACCAAGGGGAUGACCAGUAGCCGGUCUGAGAGGAUGAACGGCCACAUUGGGACUGAGACACGGCCCAGACUCCUACGGGAGGCAGCAGUGGGGAAUCUUCCGCAAUGGACGAAAGUCUGACGGAGCAACGCCGCGUGAGUGAUGACGGCCUUCGGGUUGUAAAGCUCUGUUAAUCGGGACGCGGUACCGGAAUAGAAAGCCACGGCUAACUACGUGCCAGCAGCCGCGGUAAUUC
rnacentral:rRNA from 1 species